AAGUCGUAACAAGGUUUCCGUAGGUGAACCUGCGGAAGGAUCAUUAACACGUGCUUUAUACACACGUAUUAAAACCAAACGCGAAUUUGUUGUUAAGCCUGAUAGAGGAUUUUCGAGCUGACUGUUUGGGAAUGGUGUGAUCGACUAUGUAUAUAUAUACAUAUAUAUAGUUCGGUCUAACUUACAGUCUUAGCGUGCUCGACACGCGGUUCGGUUCUCUAGCAGUAGAUAUCAAUUUCGGCUGCCUAUUAAGCCUGCACCUUGGCUUGCAGUCGGAGUGCCUUUUAUUACUUACCCCCUUUUUUUUAUACUUAUUCUGAUUUGUACGUCUAUAUGAAUUCCUGAUACUUCGCGUAUCGGUCGAGUUUGUAUCGAUGUCGUAUAUUACUAAUACGAAACAACUCUUAGCAACGGAUAUCUUGGUUCUC
rnacentral:misc_RNA from 1 species